CCUACGGGAGGCAGCAGUGGGGAAUUUUGGACAAUGGGCGAAAGCCUGAUCCAGCAAUGCCGCGUGCAGGAUGAAGGCCUUCGGGUUGUAAACUGCUUUUGUACGGAGCGAAAAGGCUUUCUCUAAUACAGGGGGCUCAUGACGGUACCGUAAGAAUAAGCACCGGCUAACUACGUGCCAGCAGCCGCGGUAAUACGUAGGGUGCGAGCGUUAAUCGGAAUUACUGGGCGUAAAGCGUGCGCAGGCGGUUCUAUAAGACAGGCGUGAAAUCCCCGGGCUCAACCUGGGAAUUGCGUUUGUGACUGUAGAGCUGGAGUACGGCAGAGGGGGAUGGAAUUCCGCGUGUAGCAGUGAAAUGCGUAGAUAUGCGGAGGAACACCGAUGGCGAAGGCAAUCCCCUGGGCCUGUACUGACGCUCAUGCACGAAAGCGUGGGGAGCAAACAGGAUUAGAUACCCUGGUAGUCCACGCCCUAAACGAUGUCAACUGGUUGUUGGGUCUUCACUGACUCAGUAACGAAGCUAACGCGUGAAGUUGACCGCCUGGGGGAGGACGGCCGCGAGUAGUAACGUACGAAGAGUAGUAGACGCGNGAGACGACGACGACGACGACGACGGAGGGAGGAG
rnacentral:rRNA from 1 species